GAUGAACGCUGGCGGCGUGCUUAACACAUGCAAGUCGAACGGGAUCCCAGGAGCUUGCUCCUGGGUGAGAGUGGCGAACGGGUGAGUAAUGCGUGACCGACCUGCCCCAUACACCGGAAUAGCUCCUGGAAACGGGUGGUAAUGCCGGAUGCUCCAGUUGGAUGCAUGUCCUUCUGGGAAAGAUUCAUCGGUAUGGGAUGGGGUCGCGUCCUAUCAGCUUGAUGGCGGGGUAACGGCCCACCAUGGCUUCGACGGGUAGCCGGCCUGAGAGGGCGACCGGCCACAUUGGGACUGAGAUACGGCCCAGACUCCUACGGGAGGCAGCAGUGGGGAAUAUUGCACAAUGGGCGCAAGCCUGAUGCAGCGACGCCGCGUGCGGGAUGACGGCCUUCGGGUUGUAAACCGCUUUUGACUGGGAGCAAGCCCUUCGGGGUGAAUGUAC
rnacentral:rRNA from 1 species